UAUAUAUAUCCCACAAAAGGGAAAGCUUCUUGCAUUGUCGCUUGUUGAGCCUACCCCUCUUCGAUUCCUUCAUGUUUUUCUUGCAGAUCUUCCGCAUGGCUUCUCUGCCAUGUCUUUUGUUCUCAAAUACGGCUAGAUGGCUUCGAGAGCGACGCAUCGGCUGCUUCAAGAGGUUGAACCGAUUGACUCUGCAAAAGAUUUGGUUUGACUAUCCCUAGCUUGGGAAUCUUCAUUCCGAGAGAUUUGAUUCAAGAUCUCUCGAGUAAUCGCUUCACUUUUGAUGGACGUGAUUCAAUUUUUUCUUAGGUUUGUUCCUCGUUAUAUCAUUGUAAGUUAUCCUCGAUGGAAUGUUUCCCUCUCUACUCGGUCUUAUUUGACUUUGAAAACUGUAAAAUUCAAGAGGAGACGGGAAGUACCUUUGUUUUGUCUCAGAUCGUCGUAGGGACGGCGAUAUUUUUAGACAGACAUGGUAUUCAGUUCAUGCAGCCUUUGGAUCCGAAGGAGUUUACACCUUCGCUAUCACGGAGCUCAACGAUCUCACAGCCAGGUUUCACAGCAAGGGUUCCUGGCCCCCGUAGGUGCAUGAUACGUGUGAGCACAAUAAUGGAGAUGUCAUUUGUUGCCGCCGUUAUAUGUAACUCGAUGAUGUAAAUGGAUGUAUAAGACUUAGUCGGGACGUAAUGGCCGAGUUUGAUUUGGCUUGAGUCCCGAUUCAUCGUUGUCAUCCGACCUUUGCCAUGACAGGUGCGCUUGCAUGGCGGGUCACAACAAACAUAAUAAAAUAGUGCUACGUUUUUGGGUGUGAUGGGGGAGAUCGCACGGGAGUUUGCCCGGGGUCUCCCCACUGCUGUUUGCCGUUGUCCUGUGCUGCCUUUUCUGCGUUCGUUUUUAUUUUAGCUCGCGACGCUCAUGAUUUCUUGCUUAUCAGAUGAAAGGGAUAGCUGAGCUACGUCAGCAGCAUUACAACUGAAUGCACUUGCAAGUCCUCAUGGCUUUUGAGGUAUACCUUAUCAAAUUUUCCUUUUAUUUCCAACGGGGAUAUGGGCUAUUCAAUUCAUUCAAGUUAUGUCUUUGAAAAAGAUAAUUACUUGGACAGAGAACAUUCGGAAAUUUAGCCUUGAAAAAGAUAUUUACCUGGAAAAUGGUGCUCCAUUAGAAAUAAUUUUGGUUUGAAGAAUUUGAGAACAGUGCAUUUUCUUAGUAAUUUGAAAAAUAGAAUAGAUAAAAUAUUAAUUGUGGUUUAUUGGAAUUGUUGGCAGUGGGCUAUUUAGGGAGUUCUUCAAAUACUCUUGACAUAGUGAUUUCAUGGUAGCGGGUUUUUGGAUUUAUUUGUAUGCAAAAAAACUAAGGUUCCCCCCCCCCCCCCCCCCCCCCCCCCCCCCCCCCCCAAAAAAAAAUAAUAAAGCACACAGUAUUGUAGUUGUAUGCUAUAGGGUUUAUUGUUUAAUGUCGAAUGCCUUAUCCUAGUAAUCUUUUCAAUUUAAUUAAUGUUCUGCAACCUGUUCAAGUUAAGUGCAUUUCAAUGACUACAAUUCCCACUGCACUAUCCGUCAUACCUGAUAUUCCAAUUUUCUUUAUCAAGCCCUCUAUGGCAGCAACACCGUAAGUUCCUCAAAAUAAAUUCAGAUACUAUGUUGCAAUUAGUCACUCAUAGGGCCAGCUUUUGUCAAUAGCUUGUGCGCCUUUUCUGGUUACUUUGAUUAGGAGCCUGUCUUGUGUUUAUGCAUGCUUGCGGCUUAGGUUCUGUACUUUGUUUUGCUAAGCUUGUACAUUAUUAUUGUGUUUUGGAAUGUAUAUGUAUUUCUCUCUGUCAUCCAUUGUACCAUUAAUUUGAGAGGACAUACAUGUAAUUGGGAGAAUUUGUGUGGUGGAUAUCUGCAACCCUUUGAGAUCAUCAAUCGUGUAUACCUGUAUUUAAAUCGUUUUGGGGAUUAGAUUUUCUUGUGAGGACGUUGAAGGCAUGGAAAAGGUGUCCAGCACCAUGAUUUUAUUGGCAACAAACAGGACUUGAAGGUUUGGUUCCUAAGAUAGCUUUGACUUCUUUGGUGCUUCUCAGUCGCAGCAGAUUCUUCGAAGGAGCUUUGUGCAUGAUAUGCAACAUCUGAGGUGAUGUUGCAAUGACGAUCAUUUGUUUCUGCGGUUAUAUGUAACUAGAUGAUGUAAAUGGAUGUAUAAGACUUAGUUGGGAUGAAAGGCCCGAGUUUGAGUGGGCUUGAGUCCUGAUUCAUCUUUGUCAUCCGACCUUUGCCAUGACAGGUGCGCUUGCAUGGUGGGUCACAACAACUAUAAUAAAAAACUGACGAUUUUUGGUUUGAGGGGGAGAUCACAUUGGAGUUUUCCUGGGGUCUCCCCACCGCUGUGUUCCGUUGUCCUGUCCGCUUUUUCUGGGCUUGUCUCUAUUUCAGUUCGCGAAGCCCCUGAUUUCUUACUUAUCAGAUGAAAGGGAUAGCUGAGCUACAUCAACAACCUUACAACACUCGCAAGUCCACGUGGCUUUUGAGGCUCGUACAUGAUUAUUUUGUUAGGCUCGUACAUGAUCUAUGUCAUCUAUCGUUUCUCAGCAAUUUGAGAGGACACGACUAUAUAAUGGGCGGGACUUUUCUGGUACAUCUCUGCAACCUUUUUAGAUCAUCAAUUCUAUACCCGUAUUUAAAUCGUUUUGGACAAUGGAUGUGCGGGUGAGGUCGCUUAAAACUUGGAAAUGCGUCCAGCAUCGUGAGGCCAUUGGCAAAAGACAUGACCUUAAGGCGAUAGCUCCGUACAACCUUUCCAAGUCUUGGAAGGCACGAUCUUCGAUGGGUACUCAUGGCGCUUAUGCUUUCGAGAGAGACAUUUUUCGUGGAUUCGGGAGGAAUGUCGUAUUCCCGAAACAACAAUGAUGGAGGCUCUCUCGUCUGGAUAUUGUGAUGACGAGGGUUUUUCUGGUAAAGUUGUCGUGACCGUAUCGCUUUUGUCACAUGGGUUGAGGCUUUUCUUUUGGCGCCCUCUUCGCGAUAUCUUGGACCUUCUUGGUUUGGCAUCAGCUCAACUACAUCCAUUUGCGCUGAGGGCUUAUGUUUGUGAUUGUAUUGUUUUUCGUAUGGUCCUGGAGCCUCUUGGUGAUCCUUAUUUUGAUUUGAUUGCUUGGAAAUUUGACUUUUUACAAUGUGAGAGCUGCUAGUAAGGGCAACGUUGUUAGUUUUUGCAAGAAAGAUAAUAGGCAGACCUUGGCUCGGUUUGAGACUCGGUACUCCAACAUCAAAGUUUGAACAGCUAAGUUUUUCUUUGUUAUCAGUUAGGGUUGGGAGUUUUUCGCCCAAGAAGAAAUUUUCAGAGAUUUUUCAGUUAGGUUCAUCUGGCAUCCUCUACCUGAUGAUAAGAGCUAUGGAACCUUUGUCAUGUCGGGAGUUUGCCCCAAUUGAAACCGUCUAUUCCUGGGCUGAAGCUCAUCUUGACAAUUUUUGGACUGAUUUUUUCUGUCUCCGAUUUAUAUUGAUUGGUUUCUAAUGUCUCCCAAUUGAUCCUAUGUUCAAGGGCGUUCAUUCAUUAUUUUAGACACUAUUCCUCCUCCUAUCGAAAUUCUUAGAGAAAAGUAAGAGGCGUGGACAUGCUGUACAAGAAAAGAAAACAAAAAAGAGGCGAUCUAAAAAGGAGGAAAACACAAAGAAGAGGUAAAAAAGAAGCAAGAAAAAGAACGAAAAUGAAAGCCAGAGGAAAAGGAUCCGCUCUGAAGACUCUUCUCUCCAUUUGUCCCCAUAAAAGAAAAUUUUAGCGUCAUCAGAGGUUGCCUAUGCCCAGAUGCCCAUGUUGCUAGCCGUAGCUGUGCUUCUAGUACCAUUACCUACAGAAGCUUUGGCACCCUUGGAGGAUGCCCAGACCCGUACACUUGUGUUGCCAGCCACCGCUGCGUUCUCUACGUUGCAGUUAGAGUAAGCUGCCACACCUUCAUGGGGCAAUUAGAUCCAACCGUCCACCCCACCAAUUAUUGUUGCUCUACCAUUACCCUGCGGGUCUUUUGCCCAGUUGCGUUCCUCUGGUUUGAGAGAUUGAGGGUUUAGCCAGCAUGAAUCUUUAAUCUGGUUGCUUCCCUUUGAGUCGUGUCCCUCAGCAGGUGUGCCCUUUGGCAUCCGACCCUAGAUUUGAAUUUCCUAUUUUAGAGGGUUCGGUGAGGGAAGUCGAGAUGGACUCUGAAGUGGUGGUCGCCAUCAACCUAGACUCUAUUAUAGGUGUGAGGGCUCGCCCACCUUUCUCGAAUGGAGCUAUUCGUGCAAAGGUGGCAAGUACCUUUCCUAUUGAUGGGGUAGAUGGAGCAUCCACUCUCAGAGGGCGACCAUGCCGAUGUAGCAUAGCGCACACCCUCUUGUCGUGAGGAUGCAUGCGACGAGAGCGGGGCAAGACAAACUGGCCUAGAGACCCUGCCAGUCACUGUUUUUGGAGGGAGCACCUCUUUGCUGGUUGGCAGUGGUGAAGGUCUUUCUCUUUCUCCAUUCACGCCUCAUUCUUUGGGGGAGACCCUGACUUCUUUGAAGAGGACUGGGGCAACUUUUUGCAGGAAGAUGCCUGCCUAAUUGAGGCCGACCUGGCUUACACCAUGCUCCUUGGGUUUUGUCAGAAAAGGUGGCAGAUUCACAUUUGAGGUUUGCGAAGGCUUCCUAACUUGGGGUGGUUUCUAGCCCUGGGGAGAUCCUUGGGGGCGAUGCUAGUGGCGGUGCCUCCUCUACUUCUGUUGGUGCCCAAGCUGAAGCUAUCGCUCAGAUGAUCAAUUGUUUAAAGGCCUGGUUCUCUGAGGUACAAUGUGGCUUGUUUUUCUUCCUUUUGCGCUUACACGCUGUUUCUUACUUUGGAUUGUUUCACCUUCUUUUGCAAGACAUCAAUGACCUAGCAACGAGAAUUGUGGCCGAUCGAACCUGCCUCGAAGAGGAGGUCAAGGAACGGCGUAAGUUGUAUUACGUUGCCAAGAAUGUUUAUGAGAAGUGGCGAGUUGACAGGGUUGAGUUGGAAGUUUUGAUUGAGAAGAAAAAGGAGUUGAAGAUUCUACUGGAGCAGUCAGAAGGCUACUCCCAGUUGUUGCAAGGUGACUUGGAGAUGUGUGAGGGAGAAGUCCUCCAGCUUCGUGAAGCCGCUCGCCUUGCCCAAGAGGCGAAAGUCAGGGACGACUUUGCCUCGACACUUCUUCAGUUCGAAAGGGAAUAGGCAAAGUUUCAACUUUCAAAGGUUUAAAAAAGUUUUGAAGUUAAGAAGGUCUGCCUCAACUCUGAGCUUCUUGCUUGUGAUGGAGAGUUAAACUCAACCCGCAAGAGUUAACUCGCUUGCAAGAAAAUCGUAGCGAUUUGUCACGAGAGUUGGCAACUACUGUGGUGAAAACCCGCCGUACCGCCCUUAACCUUUCAAAGGCACAAUGGUCCUUGGUAGAACUCCAAAAUCGCCGUGAGCAGUAUAAGGAUAGCUGUAAGGACCUCGACGAGGAUCUUAGGAGAAGGCAAACUUGGCUUUUGUCGCCAAGCACCAGAGGUUGAUUGAGAUGACGGAUGAGUUGACUGCUACUCAGGCAGAGAUCACAUGGCUUUGUGCCUAGUUAGAUGACGCCCUUGCUACCAGGGAUCAUGCCUUUGCUUACGGCCAUGGCUCUGGCAUUAUGAGACUUAGGAAUCGUCUUCUUGACCUUGCCACUAAUCUCGAAGCUCUAGCUUAGGGUUUUUUUCCUCCUGAAAUGCUUGUCGUUGAGUCGAAACGUUCGGGCGAGAUGAAAUGCUUGCUGCUUUUGUAAGCAUACCUCUAUUGCCAUCUCCCAAUAUGCUCCUUAGCUUCCUAGUUUCAUUCUUUUUGUUUUUAUGAAAAUUUUAUACUUUUCACACAUUGUACGCUUGCUUUGUUAAUAAACUUUGGUUUACAACGAUGAGGUAUCUGUUAAUUUUGCUAUUGCA